UACAGAGGUCCCAAGCGUUGUUCGGAUUCACUGGGCGUAAAGGGUGCGCAGGCGGUCGUCCAAGUCGCGUGUGAAAGCCCCCGGCUCAACUGGGGAGGGUCACGCGAUACUGGUCGACUCGAAGGCAGGAGAGGGUAGUGGAAUUCCCGGUGUAGUGGUGAAAUGCGUAGAUAUCGGGAGGAACACCAGUGGCGAAGGCGGCUACCUGGACCAGCAUUGACACUCAAGCACGAAAGCGUGGGGAGCAAACAGG
rnacentral:rRNA from 1 species